GCGGCGUGCCUAAUACAUGCAAGUCGAACGCUUCUUUCCUCCCGAGUGCUUGCACUCAACUGGAAAGAGGAGUGGCGGACGGGUGAGUAACACGUGGGUAACCUACCCAUCAGAGGGGGAUAACACUUGGAAACAGGUGCUAAUACCGCAUAACAGUUUAUGCCGCAUGGCAUAAGAGUGAAAGGCGCUUUCGGGUGUCGCUGAUGGAUGGACCCGCGGUGCAUUAGCCAGUUGGUGAGGUAACGGCUCACCAAGGCCACGAUGCAUAGCCGACCUGAGAGGGUGAUCGGCCACACUGGGACUGAGACACGGCCCAGACUCCUACGGGAGGCAGCAGUAGGGAAUCUUCGGCAAUGGACGAAAGUCUGACCGAGCAACGCCGCGUGAGUGAAGAAGGUUUUCGGAUCGUAAAACUCUGUUGUUAGAGAAGAACAAGGACGUUAGUAACUGAACGUCCCCUGACGGUAUCUAACCAGAAAGCCACGGCUAACUACGUGCCAGCAGCCGCGGUAAUACGUAGGUGGCAAGCGUUGUCCGGAUUUAUUGGGCGUAAAGCGAGCGCAGGCGGUUUCUUAAGUCUGAUAUGAAAGCCCCCGGCUCAACCGGGGAGGGUCAUUGGAAACUGGGAGACUUGAGUGCAGAAGAGGAGAGUGGAAUUCCAUGUGUAGCGGUGAAAUGCGUAGAUAUAUGGAGGAACACCAGUGGCGAAGGCGGCUCUCUGGUCUGUAACUGACGCUGAGGCUCGAAAGCGUGGGGAGCAAACAGG
rnacentral:rRNA from 1 species